rnacentral:rRNA from 1 species
AGUGAACGCUGGCGGUAGGCCUAACACAUGCAAGUCGAACGGCAGCACAGUAAGAGCUUGCUCUUACGGGUGGCGAGUGGCGGACGGGUGAGGAAUACAUCGGAAUCUACUUUUUCGUGGGGGAUAACGUAGGGAAACUUACGCUAAUACCGCAUACGACCUACGGGUGAAAGCAGGGGAUCUUCGGGCCUUGCGCGAUUGAAUGAGCCGAUGUCGGAUUAGCUAGUUGGCGGGGUAAAGGCCCACCAAGGCGACGAUCCGUAGCUGGUCUGAGAGGAUGAUCAGCCACACUGGAACUGAGACACGGUCCAGACUCCUGCGGGAGGCAGCAGUGGGGAAUAUUGGACAAUGGGCGCAAGCCUGAUCCAGCCAUACCGCGUGGGUGAAGAAGGCCUUCGGGUUGUAAAGCCCUUUUGUUGGGAAAGAAAAGCAGCAGGUUAAUACCCCGCUGUUCUGACGGUACCCAAAGAAUAAGCACCGGCUAACUUCGUG